GAUGAAGAACGUAGCGAAAUGCGAUAAGUAAUGUGAAUUGCAGAAUUCAGUGAAUCAUCGAAUCUUUGAACGCACAUUGCGCCCCCUGGUAUUCCGGGGGGCAUGCCUGUUCGAGCGUCAUUUCACCACUCAAGCCUCGCUUGGUAUUGGGCAACGCGGUCCGCCGCGUGCCUCAAAUCGACCGGCUGGGUCUUCUGUCCCCUAAGCGUUGUGGAAACUAUUCGCUAAAGGGUGUUCGGGAGGCUACGCCGUAAAACAACCCCAUUUCUAAGGUGGACCUCGGAUCAGGUAGGGAUACCCGCUGAACUUAAGCAUAUCAAUAAGCGGAGGA
rnacentral:misc_RNA from 1 species